CUCAACCAAUCCUCCCACCUCGACCUCCCAGAGUGCUAGAAGGUUUGAGCUGUGCUGGGCCUGAUAUCCCAUUCCUCAGGGAGAAAUGUUCCCACCAUGGGACACCACGAGGGGCCUGUGAUUUGGAAAUUGAAGUUGACCCCUCACUGUUCUGAGCUCUUCCUCCAAUGGAUGACAUCAUCCCAGUCAGGGCUGCCAACCCUGCUCACCAAGGAAACAGGCUUGUGCCACACCGUGGGGAAGGGACAAAGACCUCUGGGACCUCUUAUUCCUUCCACGUCCAAGAGAAAAAGUGAAUGGAAAGCCACAGCCCUUGGAAAGAGACAAGGUUGCUGAAGUCCAGACCCUUGAGUGAAGGCUUUGUUCUCUGGCCAGGAAAGAGCCCCCUCCCUGCCGGAAAACACUUAGGAAUGGACGGUGCACCAAGGAAGUUGUUGCUGCACUCAGCAUUGUGUGACAUCCUAGAAAUGAGGGCUCCGGCUGUGUGUCCGGGGGCUCAGGCUGCUGUAACGGAUACCACGGACCCGGCAGCUUAAACAGCAGAAAUGUGUUUCUCGCAGUCCUGGAGGCUGGAGUCCUAGAUCAAGGUGUCAGCAGAGUUCGUUUCUUCUGAGGCCUCUCUUCCUUGGCGUGUGGAUGGCGUCUUCUCCCUGUCCUCAUAUGGCCAUGCCUCUGUGGGUGGCUGUGUCCUCAUCUCCUCUUCCUGUAAGGACACCAGGUACAUAGGAUUAGGGCCCACCUAAUGACUUCAUUUUACCUGAAUCACCUCUUUAUAGAUCCCAUCUCCAAACACAGUCACAUUCUGAGGUGCAGGGGCCGAGGGGGUGGUUAGGGCUUCAACAUACAGAUCUGGGGAGGCACCGCCCAGCCACACCAAGCGGCCAUGAACUUUCUUCAGUGCCAUGUUUUUAUAUGUUACUUAUUUCCUUCUAUCACUCUUCCUCUACCUUGUUAUUUUAUAUAAGAGUUGAUGUUGGAAAUUGACAAAUUUAGUCUUCAUGUUACAAAAUAUUCAAACAGGACUGGCUGACUUUUGAGAGUACACCCUUUCACCAAGAGAUGGACACUGUAUUGAUCAGGGUUUGGUGGGCAAAGGAAGGUCACUUGCUUUCUAUGUAUUGUGGGAAAAGGGGCUGAAUAUAGACUUGGGGGGCUGCAUGGCUGCUGGAAGAGGCGGCAGCGUGGAUGUUGGGGAAGCUGCCUCCGCAGUAAGAGGACCAGACAGUGGACAACCAGUCUGAAGCACCCGACAGGAGGUCGCAAACGUUUUCCUGGCAGGGGUUGGCCAGGGGGUCAUGGGAUGGAGAGGGAUGAAUGGGAGGAGCACAGGGGACUUUUAGGGCACUGAAACUAUCCUGUGACAUCAUAAUGGUGGACACAUGACGUUACGCGUUUGUCAAACCCGUAGACUACGUAACACAAAGAGUGAGCCCUAACGUAAACUAUAAACUUGGGUUAAAAACAAUGUGACAAUAUUGGUUCAUUGGUUAGAACAAAUAAUACACAUUAAUACAAGAUAUUAAUAAUAGGAGGAAACUGUGAGAAGGCAAGGGAUAAGCGGGGAGUCUUGUAGUAUCGUCUCAAUUCCCUGUAAAGCUAGCACUGUUUUUAAAGAUAGAGUCUAUUAAUAAAAGAUAAAUAAAUAAA